rnacentral:tRNA from 1 species
GUCAGGAUGGCCGAGUGGUCUAAGACGCCAGACUCAAAUUUUGGUUUUCAUGAGAAGGUGUGGGUUCAAAUCCUACUUCUGAUA